UUCUUUUUCUUCUUCCUUUAAAAAAAAAAGUUAAUUUUUCACUUUCUAUUUGCUUAUGAAGCACUGUUCUUAGAUUCUUGUAUAAUCAUCAAAACUGAAUUAAAGCAAAUCAAUAACAUGGAUCAGCCGUCGUGAUAACUGUCCGACAAAUAAAGGAAACCAAAGAAACUUUAGCAUUUCCUCUAUCGCCGGCAGCAGUAGCAUUUGCAACCAAAAUGCAUAAUCACAACCACCACCUUCAACCACCACCCACCACCAUUUCCUCCGCCGCCACCACCACUAGCAUCACUUUUUCACCACCCUUUAUUCUCUUAAUCACCACCCUAUUCUCUCUUCUCCUUAUACUUUCCCUCUGCUUCUCCCCUACCACCCCACCUCUUAACCCCCACCCUUCCCUUUUCCCUAACUACCUCAACUCUCCGUCCAACCCAAAUGACCAAAC
rnacentral:lncRNA from 1 species